rnacentral:rRNA from 1 species
AAUAGAUACCCGGGUAGUCCAUGCCGUAAACGUUGGGCACUAGGUGGUGGGACUCACUCAACGGGUUCCGUGCCGUAGCUAACGCAUUAAGUGCCCCGCCUGGGGAGUACGGCCGCAAGGCUAAAACUCAAAGGAAUUGACGGGGGCCCGCACAAGCAGCGGAGCAUGUUGCUUAAUUCGAGGCAACGCGAAGAACCUUACCUGGGUUUGACAUGUACGGAAAAGCCGCAGAGAUGCGGUGUCCUUUUGGGCCGUACACAGGUGGUGCAUGGUUGUCGUCAGCUCGUGUCGUGAGAUGUUGGGUUAAGUCCCGCAACGAGCGCAACCCUUGUCCUAUGUUGCCAGCGGGUAAUGCCGGGGACUCGUAGGAGACUGCCGGGGACAACUCGGAGGAAGGUGGGGAUGACGUCAAAUCAUCAUGCCCCUUAUGUCCAGGGCUGCAAACAUGCUACAAUGGCCAGUACAAAGGGCUGCUAUACCGCGAGGUUGAGCGAAUCCCAUAAAGCUGGUCUCAGUUCGGAUUGGAGUCUGC